rnacentral:rRNA from 1 species
GAUUUUCUUAGUAACGGCGAGCGAACAGAAAAAAGUCCAGCGCCAAGUUUUGACACAUUAGUGUGAUCAAAAGAUGCGGCGUUUAUCCUUUGGCGCUUCAUACAUUGUUUUUGAUUUCAAGUUUCCUUGACAGGAACAUCCAAAGCGGGUGCUAGGCCCAUAGAGAUUAAAAACCGAUGUAUGCCGGCCAUUGGAUUAUAGAGUCAGGUUGCUUGAGAGUGCAGUCUAAAGUAGGUGGUAAACUCCAUCUAAGACUAAAUAUGACAGCGAGACCGAUAGCAAACAAGUACCGUGAGGGAAAGUUGCAAAGCACUUUGAAGAGAGAGUCCAAUAGUACGUGAAACCACUGGAAGGCAAACAGAUGGAGCUACGAAUUUUGCGCUUCAGUCGAUUCAAUCAUCGUUUACGAUUGACUGUGUUUAUUUUAGGAUCUUUUCGGAGAUUUGAUAAAUAUUGUCGAAAAUCGUUGACAAUGAUGCAUUUCGUGCUGAAGAUGCUAAGCCACGUUUGACUAGAUUGUUGGAACAACUGUAAGAUAGGAUUGCAGGAAGGUUACCGUCAGUUGCUUGCAAUUGAAGGUGUUUAUAGACUGCAAUCGGUAUUGUUGCCUAAAAUGCUGGUCAAUAAAAAUUCUCCAUUUGGAGUAAUGUUAAGGUUAUGUUUACCUGUGAUUUAAAAUUAGCAUUUCGAAUUAAAUUUGUCAUGCCUUAGGUGUGUUCAAAAGGUUCAACAAUGUUGAUUUUAGGUUACUUGUAUUGCAUAAUCAAAACGGUGGCGUGAUUUGGUCAGUUUUCCAUCUGACCCGUCUUGAAACACGGACCAAGGAGUCUAUCACAUAUGCAAGUCGCUCAGUCUUGUUUAGGCUCGAGAGGCACAAUGAAAGUAAUUUACUAUGAUGUCGUGUGUAAUAGCGCGAUUGCAAUAGUGGCUCGCCUACUUUGUUUAUUUGGCAAUAUGGCGAAGCUGGAGCAUAUGCGAUGGUACCCGAAAGAUGGUGAACUAUGCUUGGAUAAGAUGAAGCCAGAGGAAACUCUGGUGGAAGUCUGUAGCGAUUCUGACGUGCAAAUCGAUCGUCAAAUCUGAGUAUAGGUGCGAAAGACUAAUCGAACCAUCUAGUAGCUGGUUUCCUCCGAAGUUUCCCUCAGGAUAGCAGGCAUUCGUUUAAGAUCAGUCUCAUCCGGUAAAGCUAAUGAUUAGAGGUCUUGGGAAUGAAAUGUUCUCAACCUAUUCUCAAACUUUAAAUGGUUGAGAUGGUUGACUUGCUUGAUUUGAAGCCAACCAUUUGGAUGUGAGUGCCUUGUGGGCCAUUUUUGGUAAGCAGAACUGGCGAUGUGGGAUGAACCAAACGUUGAGAUAAGGCAUCUAAUGCAUACGCUCAUUAGACCCCAGAAAAUGUGUUGGUUGCUAUAGACAGCAGGACGGUGGCCAUGGAAGUCGGAAUCC